rnacentral:lncRNA from 1 species
GGACAUUCUGUACCUGGACAAGUUGUCCAUCAUGUGUAGUAUCCUUUCUUUCCUCAUUUCCAAUUCUUUGGUUCUCUAGCUUGACUUUGGUUCUCCUCAAAUGUCACUUUCUACAUGAGGUCUUUUCUGAUCCCUCUCUUCCUUCCCUCUGUAUUUGGUAUAAGUAGAUUUUUACAUUUUUUGUCUGUGAAUAUAUUGUUAUUCCUCAGUGGAAUGUAGGCUUCUUGCAUUCCCAGAGCCUACCACAGCACCUGGAAGAGUAGGGGGCUUAGUAAUUGUUUGUUGAAUUAGUUUGAAUUAAAUUGAAGGAAAACUCGAGAUCACUGAAAGCUUCCCACAAGUUCCCUAGUAUAUUCCAAUCCUCAUUCUUCUUUCUAUUCAAUCCUGAGGCUAAUUCUGGUCCAUCUGCUGAGACUGUCCAAUAGAGAAGGUCUGAGAGACUAACUUAACUGACAGAUCAUUUGACAGAAUCUCAGAAUCUGGGCAAUGUGUAUUCUUGAUCAACUUUAAAAAUUCUGUGGGCUAUUAGACUGAUCUUUGGUGACCAUGUAUCUCAUUGAAGAGGUCAUGAAGUAUUCUGGGAUUUGAUGUAAUCAGUACAGUGAAAGAGUUGAUACCAAAAAAGCAAAAGAUCAAAGAUUUAUGUCUUGAGAAUCUCUUCUACUUAAAUCCCAUAGAGUACAUUCUCUACGACAAUGGCAAAUAUCCCUGACAGCUUGUUCGCCUAUGUAAAAUGAAGACUAACUACAUGUUCUCCGAGGUCCCUUCCAGAUCCUAUGCACAAAGCAUAAAGAUAAGUUAACAGAUGGGAAGCAAAGCAGAAUUUUGAAAUCUCCCUGCUGUUGUUAUAGUCAUCUCACCCUGGAGUACAGAGGAGGAGGAAGGAGUAUGUCUGAGCUCAGAAGUUCCUUUGAAAAAGAGGUGAGUAUAUUUGUGUGUGAAAGGGGUGGGGAAAGCAGGGACAGUCAGAAUAAUGAAUGAGCAGUGACUUCUGAGAACAAGGCCUGCUUUCAGCUAUCUCCCUCCUCCUCCAAUCCUAUCUCUACUCCUCAGAUAGCUCUGAUGGUCAGGCAGUAAUUGUAGAUACAAUCCAUUUCCAGGCAGAUUUGUGAGUUUCUAGUGUGGUUAAUAUUUUCACUCUUGUAUUCAAG